CCUACGGGUGGCAGCAGUGGGGAAUCUUGGUCAAUGGGCGCAAGCCUGAACCAGCCACGCCGCGUGGGGGAAGAAGGUUCUCUGAUUUUUAAACCCCGUUUUUAGAGGAGUAAAUGCGGGAGAGUGUCUGUUCACGUUUCGACGGUAUCAAACCAGAUCGGCUAACUCCGUGCCAGCAGCCGCGGUAAGACGGAGGAUACAAGCGUUAUCCGGAUUUAUUGGGUUUAAAGGGUGCGUAGGCGGUCUGAUAAGUUAGAUGUGAAAGCCAGCGGCUCAACCGGAGUAGUGCAUUUGAAACUGGGAGACUUGAGUGCAGUUGAGGCAGGCGGAACGCCUGGUGUAGCGGUGAAAUGCUUAGAUAUAUGGCAGAACACCAGUUGCGAAGGCAGCUUUCCAGGCUAUAACUGACGCUGAGGUACGAAAGCGUGGGGAGCAAACAGGAUUAGAUACCCCUGUAGUC
rnacentral:rRNA from 1 species